CUCUUAUCCCGAGCUGGCGGAGGGACAGGCCCAAUGAAGCCCAGCAACCGGUUUCUCUUUAAAAAGCAUGUGGAAACACAUGUGGGACAACCAAGGUGCUAACCUGUUGCAAGGUUAUUUAUUCCUUGAGCGAUAAGAG
rnacentral:ncRNA from 2 species